UUGCCUAACAGUCCCUUGGCUGGAGAGAGUCAGCAGUGAACAUGCUGUGCUGCUGUCCCAGGGCUCCAGGCUGCAGCCUCAGGACCCCACAGAGGGAAAGCACUUGGGAACAAGUGAGAGGUUGGCUAAGUCUAGAUGCUACAGGCCACGCACCAGGAACCACCCAGUGCUCAUGGGCAGCAUAGGGCAGGUCUCACCACAUCCAGAGACCUCGGGGCCUGAGAUGAGAGGGAGCCCAGGGCAGGUCUCCCUGGGCCUGGCCACCAGGCACUCUGAGCAACCGAGUCCAGGGCAAGAACAUUUAGGCCUGCCCACCACUCCUCCACCUUGGCCAGGGGCAAGGUCACCACCCACAGGCUGGACACCCAAGAACGGGACUUGGACAAGGUGUCACUUCAAUCCUGCCAUGAAUUCAUUCGGCCAUUUCACCUCACUGUAACUCCUGGCCCAGGCAUCCAUCCUCAUCUCUACCUGGGAGGGGCCUCAGGACCCAUGGGAUGUUGCUCUUAAUACACAGAGUGUUCCCAGAGCAGGAAACCUUGGGGUGUGCAAAGGCCCCAGGCCACGCAGACAUCAUAGAAGAGCAGGUGCCUCAUCACUUUACCAACAUACAUGAAGACAAACUCUGUGCAGACACUUUUCCAGGUAUAGAUCAUGAACCAAUAACCACAGCAAAUACAAUCACUGCACUCUCGAGUUUCGGUGAUAUUUGGUGUCUACACAGUGACAAUCAGAGCAGGUAUUACUCAAAUUACAGUAGAUGAAGCCCCUCCUUUCCUCCCUUGAUGUGGAUUCACAGCAGUGCAAAGAAGUCCAGAGGCGGCACAGACACCAGGCAACAUAGCACUACAUACCAUAAAGCCUCAGGAGAGGCAGGGCAGCACAGACGCCUACUGUCCCUCACUUCUCAGAUAGUUAUGGAGCAGCAGCCCUGUGCCCUUGAGUACAAUCACACACCAGAAACCAGACUCUGUCCUCAUGGAGCUGACAGUGGGGACAGGCAGGGAGACACUGUAUCCAGCUGCCCUGAAGAAGA